CAAAAUGGCUGCGCCACUCAACCGGCUUGUUAUGUCUGUCCGUCUUGCGGCCACCGCCACUUACCGUAGAGACCUCGAGGAGGACAAUGCCACUCGAAGGGAUAAUUAAGUGUAAAUUAAAAAAGUUCUUAAAAUAAUGAUAACACGGAUAAAUUCUAUAUCUGGUUUAAUUUAUUGCCCGUAUUGGAUUUACAUACUGUAAAUUGUUUGUCAUUGAAUCCCACAAGGUGGUUUCAAACACCUAAUGUUCUUAUUAUUUUUGUUCAAUCUAAUUCUCCCAAGACCCAAGAAGUUUGGUACUGCUCUGGCACAAACUAGUACGUACUAACUAAUAUAAUAUAUACCGAUAUUUACAAUAUCGGUUAAGAAUCGUCCUAGCUAGAAGAGAAGUGAUAUUUGCCACUUUUGAGUACCUGUAGAUCUGAGAUCUGUCUUUGUCUUGGAACGCUCAAUAUUUUGUUUCUCAAUUUUCCAUACGAUUCUCCAUUUUCUAUACUAUAAAUACAGACCUAAAGUCCAAACAAUCCAAACAUACUUUAAGCGUCUCUAAAUCUUCGUAAGUCUUUUAAUUUUAAGCACUUCAGACACUAUUGCAACCCCAAUAAAGCCGUUUCAAAGUCGCUCCAAAGCCUACUCGACCUGUAAUAUAUUCGACCCUAAAUCUCUUUAACGAAGCUUCGGCCAACUGUUUCAUGAUUCACGUAAAUGUUUUUUACCUUGGACCAAAUGAGACUGCGAAUCCAGUAAGGGUUGUGUGAAAUUGGAUUCAUUAUUGAUUCAAAAAGGUCAACCCGACCGCGGUCGGCGGUGGAUGUGGAUGGCACUCGUAGGGCCGAAACGGGAGUUUUAGUGCAUUCACGUUUGCGGUUUUGGUCAUCGAUUUGAUAUAAUAAUUGUUCUGGAAUAAACCAAUGAGUGAUGAAAUUAUAGGUCUCCUUACAUCAGGCAGUUGGCAAAGAAGCUCUGCGGUGAUUUUUUUAGCAGGGCUGUGAUCCACGCUCCGGGUCGUGUCUGGUGCAGGGGAUUUUAUUGCCUAUACAACACGGAAACACUGAUAAUGGGAACUUUUGGAUUGAAUGCGAUCUGAUGCGGUCCUUUUUAAAUGACCGUGUUUUGGAAUAACCAACAUAAAGGAAAAUGACGAAGCCUGUUGCAAGUAGCUUCAUUAUUUGUGCGCAAUGACGACGCUUGUUGCUGAUUUAUGGUUGUGCCCUCCUGACGCAGCCUACGUUGCGGAUAUGAAUUUGUCAAUUCUUUAUGUUGCUUACUUUUAUUUUGUAGAAGGUCGUAUAUAUAAAUAAAUAAAUAUUAUAGGACAAGUCCGUAGCUGGCCAUAACAAAUUCUUACCUACCGCCUCAGUUGAGCGGUAGACCUGUACAUGCAAAAUACCUUUGUCCAUUAUGCUUAUCUUGCUAAUUCGCCUAAAUACAGUGUGUAAAUCUAAUACGAGCGAAAAAUUAAACCAGAUAUACUAUAAUAGAAUUUAUCCGUGUAAUCAUUAAUUAAAAAGUUUUUUUAAGUUACACUUAAAUAUGACCCCGUAAUUAUUUUUUGAAAAUUUAAGGAGCAGUAAGUAAUGUACUGCAAACAUUACGAGACAUGACAUGACAUGACAUUACGAGAUAUUUAAGCUUUUUAUAGCAACUGCCAACAAACGUUGAGAGUUACUUUAAAAAGCUCGUAUUUUGUAACUUACGUGUUGCUUUACAUUGCGGGCUGAAUUAUUUUGUAUGGUUAAUUAUUUUUAUUGUUUUUUAAGCAAAAUUUAACUCAUUAUAUUUCUUAGGUCCUAUACUAACCAUCGUUUAAAUAUUCGCCAGUAUUAAAUUUACACACAGUAGGUACCUAUAUUUUCCAUGCAGUGUACAAAAUGCCAUUUCAAUAAAAUUGUGAAUGUUCUGGAUGUGAUUUAAAAUUUUCCACUUCAUUAAUUGCUAAUUACUUACUACCUAGAAUUAGUAGGUGUUUGUUUGCGCCUACACUUACCUUUGACCAUUUUAUAUCACGACUUCACGAGUGAUUGAUCCGACUGAUGACUGGACUUAAUCAUAAAUAUUAAAUUCGGUUUUAAUUUUCUCUCAAUAUCUGAAAUAUUUUCUUGAAUUUAAAAUGGCUUUCCGCGACCCAAUUUCCGUAACAAAUAACCCGAUAUCUAUUUCUCACAUCUGCGACUGUCCUAUCACCUCGUGAACCCUAAAAUGUACGCCAAACUUGUUUCUGAUUCGCAGUUUAAGAGGCGCGUAUGGGGCUCCCUAUUAUGGGUCCUGGGGGUCCAGUGGUUUCCUUAAAUAGGGCCGUCUUGGGCCUUCCGAAAAAAUACGAUUUCCUGUCCUUUCUGCAAACGGGCCACGAGCGGGAAGCGGAUCAGGUUUUGGUAGUUUUUCAAAAUGGCGGAGCCUAGGGGGUUCGUACGUUCUACAGCUCACAGAGUCACUAGUACCACGAAUGCAUAACUAAUGGUUGUAUGUGAGUAAAUAUUUUUUAUUGUGCACCAUAAAGUUACAAGAAGUUUCUAUACAGAAGACGAAAUACAAGUUUAAGAUAACAACAGGCAAUAGAUUGUAUAUACCUAUUACGUUGCUGUAUUUUCAUCAAGAUUAAUCGGUUGAUAGUUCAAAAUCAAGCAAGAAAUAAAUUUCCUUCAACA